GUGCUUGGGGCCCCGACGCGUACCCAGGUGCCAUCUGGCCCUCACCUCCCGCCGUAGCUGGCUGUGACGCCCGCCAUGGGCACACUGGGGCAGUGCAGUGAGAAGACGAGGAUGCCCAGCAGGCUGACAACGGUGCAGAACAGGCAGAACUUGAUGACCGCGGAGCCCCGGAGCCUGAGCUUGUUCACAAAGAAGCCGCCCAGGAAGGUGCCGCCACCACCCGCUGGCACCACCAGGGCAGCCACACCCCCUCCUCCCCCAGGGGCCUCUGCCGAGUCCCUGCAGGCUGUGACAAGGACAUUUGUCGAAGCCUGAGUGGCCACCAACAGUAAAAAAUUGCGAUUAGCUGGCAUCUAGCUUCUGGGCUGACAAGUGAGGAGGGCACAGAUAGUGGACCCUGGAAGGGUAGAGCGCGGUAGAUUGGCGGUGGUGGCCCACAUGCCUGGCACCUCUGCCAUGGCCCAGGGUACUCUGUGAACGCUGGCAGGAGGAGCAGCUCUGAGGAGGGGUCCCCACUUUCUGCAGACCUGCCCAGCCUGGGAAGGCCAGCCUGCCUCUGGCACCGAGAAACCCCCAGCUGCACUGUUCCAGGAGGUCCUGAGGCACCAGUGCCUGGCUCAUGGAACAGCCAGGUCCAAACCCUUCCUGCACCAAGUCACAGAAGCCAAGACUAGGUGGCUAGGGGGUGGAGCCCACCGUGGACCCUUCCACCUACGGAGCAUGUCCCACAAAGAGGGCAGGACCACCACUCUCCCGGCCUGUGGACAGAGUCGCUCAGCCCCCGUGGCGCUCUCCACACCUGCUCUGGCAGCGGGGGUGGGAGGGCACUCACUGCCAUGUGCCCUGUCUGGGUCUUUCUAGAAGAUGCCCUUGAAGACUCUGUUUCUGAGAACUGACAUAAAAGCAGAGGACCCCCAAGAUUCAGUUUUCUCACCAAACAAGGUGGCAGCUUCUGAGGCACUCAGGCUGAACUGGGACUCCAAGAACUUGGGGCUGAACGUGGACAUGCCGGUGAUGAGAGUGGCCUCGGUGGCCCCGGCCAGGCAGAGCAGGAUGAACGUGGGGUUCUUCAGCAGGAGCCAGAUGGAGCUGGGCAGAGUGUCGCUGACUUGAACCCCUGCGUCUGCAGCUUAGUGACAUCCUGUAAACCUACACUUUCCAGCCUCUCACCAGAGCAGACUGUCGGCCUCACAUCACCCCCACCUGCAGGAGGGCGGCUCUUUCCUCUCGGCCACACCUAGAGCCUGGUUCCGAUGAACGCAACUCUGAAUGCCUGGAACAUUCAAAUGCUCUUGUUUGAGGAGGUGGCCAAAUGUAAAUGGAUUCUGAAGAAUCAGGAACAGACGGUGCAGCCCUAGUUAGCCUCUGAGCCCCAACAGGCCCACAGGUGCCUUGCAGAGCUGAUGUUGGCGUCAGAAACUCCGCUCCAGCCUCACAGGCACUCUGCCUGCUUGGAGGUGUUCGCUGGCUCGCUCAGACUGACCUCAGCAGCCAUGAACAUGGGUUCUUUCUGUCCCCUUCCCUGAUUAAAAUGGGAGAGCCCAGUUCUUUCAAAAUUU
rnacentral:lncRNA from 1 species